GAAGUGGUAGUUUAAUAGGUAGAACCUUGUGCUACGGACACUUUAAUAUAAGUUCGAGUCUUAUCCACUUCU